AGUCACACAUGCAAGUCGAGCGGUAGCACAGAGAGCUUGCUCUCGGGUGACGAGCGGCGGACGGGUGAGUAAUGUCUGGGAAACCGCCUGAUGGAGGGGGAUAACUACUGGAAACGGUAGCUAAUACCGCAUAACGCCGCAAGACCAAAGAGGGGGACCUUCGGGCCUCUUGCCGUCAGAUGUGCCCAGAUGGGAUUAGCUAGUAGGUGGGGUAACGGCUCACCUAGGCGACGAUCCCUAGCUGGUCUGAGAGGAUGACCAGCCACACUGGAACUGAGACACGGUCCAGACUCCUACGGGAGGCAGCAGUGGGGAAUAUUGCACAAUGGGCGCAAGCCUGAUGCAGCCAUGCCGCGUGUAUGAAGAAGGCCUUCGGGUUGUAAAGUACUUUCAGCGGGGAGGAAGGUGCUGAGGUUAAUAACCUCAGCAAUUGACGUUACCCGCAGAAGAGGCACCGGCUAACUCCGUGCCAGCAGCCGCGGUAAUACGGAGGGUGCAAGCGUUAAUCGGAAUUACUGGGCGUAAAGCGCACGCAGGCGGUCUGUCAAGUCGGAUGUGAAAUCCCCGGGCUCAACCUGGGAACUGCAUUCGAAACUGGCAGGCUAGAGUCUUGUAGAGGGGGGUAGAAUUCCAGGUGUAGCGGUGAAAUGCGUAGAGAUCUGGAGGAAUACCGGUGGCGAAGGCGGCCCCCUGGACAAAGACUGACGCUCAGUGCGAAAGCGUGGGGAGCAAACAGGAUUAGA
rnacentral:rRNA from 1 species